rnacentral:rRNA from 1 species
UACGAGGGGGGCAAAUGUUGUUCGGAAUCACUGGGCGUAAAGGGAGCGUAGGCGGGUUUCUAAGUCAGGUGUUUAAUCCCGGGGCCCAACCCCGGACAGGCACUUGAAACUGGGAAUCUUGAAUAGGGGAGAGGUCAGUGGAAUUGGAGGUGUAGCGGUGGAAUGCGUAGAGAUCUCCAAGAACACCAGUUGCGAAGGCGGCUGACUGGACCAAUAUUGACGCUGAGGCUCGAAAGCAUGGGGAGCAAACAGG